rnacentral:rRNA from 1 species
AGAGUUUGAUCCUGGCUCAGAGCGAACGCUGGCGGCAGGCCUAACACAUGCAAGUCGAGCGCCCCGCAAGGGGAGCGGCAGACGGGAGAGUAACACGUGGGAACGUGCCCUUCAGUUCGGAACAACCCAGGGAAACUUGGGCUGAUACCGGAUACGUCCGUAAGGAGAAAGAUUUAUCGCUGAAGGAUCGGCCCGCGUCUGAUUAGCUAGUUGGUGGGGUAAUGGCCCACCAAGGCGACGAUCAGUAGCUGGUCUGAGAGGAUGAUCAGCCUCACUGGGACUGAGACACGGCCCAGACUCCUACGGGAGGCAGCAGUGGGGAAUAUUGGACAAUGGGCGCAAGCCUGAUCCAGCCAUGCCGCGUGGGUGAUGAAGGCCCUAGGGUUGUAAAGCCCUCUCGGCGGGGAAGAUAAUGACGGUACCCGCAGAAGAAGCCCCGGCUAACUUCGUGCCAGCAGCCGCGGUAAUACGAAGGGGGCUAGCGUUGCUCGGAAUCACUGGGCGUAAAGCGCACGUAGGCGGCUUUUUAAGUCAGAGGUGAAAUCCUGGAGCUCAACUCCAGAACUGCCUUUGAUACUGAAGGGCUUGAGUCCGGGAGAGGUGAGUGGAACUGCGAGUGUAGAGGUGAAAUUCGUAGAUAUUCGCAAGAACACCAGUGGCGAAGGCGGCUCACUGGCCCGGUACUGACGCUGAGGUGCGAAAGCGUGGGGAGCAAACAGAAUUAGAUACCCCAGUAGUCC